AUGGCCUGGACCCCUCUCCUCCUGGGCCUCCUGGCUCACUGCACAGGCUCUGUGGUCUCCUACGAGCUGACUCAGCCAACCUCAGUGUCGGUGUCUCUGGGACAGACGGCCAGGAUGACAUAUCAGGGAGACAACGUUGGAAGUAAAAUUGCUUACUGGUACCAACAGAAGGCAGGCCAGACCCCUGUGCUGGUUAUUUACAAUGAUUAUCAGCAGCCCUCAGGGAUCCCUGACCGGUUUUCUGGCUCCAACUCGAGGAACACGGCCACCCUGACCAUCAGCGGGACCCGGGCCGAGGACGAGGCUGACUAUUACUGUGGGGUGUGGGACAGCAGCAGUGAUCAUCCACAGUGACACAGGGCCAUGGGGAAGUGAGACACGAACU